UUUUAUAUUUUUAUAACUUCAAUCGGUUUUGUUAUUUAAGGAUUCAUAUAUAUCUAAUAUGUUUGCUGAUAUAUUUUUGGCUGUUAGAAAUUCGCCGGUAAGUGUUUUUAAUGGCAUGUACGUUCUUUUUUUUUUCUUCUUCUUUCUUCGUUUUCAGAAAGUUCCGAAAAUUUCCGGUUUUCCCAAAAUUCCGAAUAAAUCGGAAUCGGAUCUCAUUUUUAGAUUCCGAAAAUUUCGUAAUCGGAAUCGGAUCUCAUAUUACAGUUCUGAAAAAAAAAAAUCGUAAAUUUUCCAAAAAUCCCUUUUCCGAUCCCGAUCUGAUCCGUCCGAUUUCCACCCUUAAUUCCAUGAAUAUAUAUAUACACACACUCGCAUUCUUAGCUUAUUAUUUAAGUAGGAAACUUGAUUAGCGUAGCUAUCAAUUAUCAUCGUCCAUUUGGAAUCUUGAAAUCAUUCUUAAUAAUGAUCAUUAAAGCUUAGUGGGCUUAACUUAGCACUUGGGCCUAGUUGAUAUUGGGUCCAGUUUGCAGAUUGGUUCUUUUAUUUCGUGUAAGUUAAUUAUUUGUGGAAAUUAUUAUUUUUAUCGUGUUGACAAAUUGGAGGCCCCAUAUACGUAUAAGUUCCUCAACAUGGUCUAUUAAUUAGAGAAUAUGUAUACUUUUGCAUCGUUAAUUAGGGCAUGCUUUUGGUGAUGUGUUGAUGCAUGUGAACUAAUUGGACAUGUGAUUUUUGACAUUGUCUUUACUGAUUUAUUUUUGCUAAUUCAGCUUAGUGGGCUUAACUUAGCACUUGGGCCUAGUUGAUAUUGGGUCCAGUUUGCAGAUUGGUUCUUUUAUUUCGUGUAAGUUAAUUAUUUGUGGAAAUUACAUUUACAUCCCUAAUGUAUGCUAAAAUAAUUUUAAGCCUCCCCUAGUAUUGGUAAUUAC